CAGGACGAACGCUGGCGGCGUGCCUAAGCUUAUGCAAGUCGAACGCGAAAGGCUCCUUCGGNGAGCCGAGUAGAGUGGCAGACGGGUGAGUAACGCGUGGGUACGUGCCCCAAUCCUGGGAAUAACCCUCGGAAACGAGGGCUAUACGAAUGUGGCCCCGAUCGGAUGAUCGGUGGCUAAAGGUGGCCUCUUCUAUGCUGCCGGGUUGGGAUCGGCCCGCGUCCCAUUAGCUAGUUGGUGAGGUAACGGCCCACCAAGGCAACGAUGGGUAGCCGGCCUGAGAGGGUGUCCGGCCACACUGGCACUGAGACAAGGGCCAGUCCCCUAUGGGAGGCGCAGGCGGGAAUAGUUCCCAAUGGACGAAAGUCUGAGGACGCGACGCCGCGUGAGCGAAGAAGGCCUUCGGGUUGUAAAGCUCUGUCAGGAGGGAAGAAGGCGCUGGGUGUUAAUAGCACCAAGCGUUGACGGUACUUCCAGAGGAAGCCCCNNGGCUAAAUACCCGUGCCAGCAGCCGCGGUAAUANCGUAUGGGGCNNAAGNCGUNNNUGUCCGGAAUUAACUGGGGCGUUAAAGGGCACGCAGGCGGUUCGUUAGUCGAAGGUGAAAUCCCUGGGCUCAACUCAGAACUGCCUUCGAUACUGGCGAACUAGAGUUUGGCGUAGCAGGACACAGCGGAACUCCCUGNNGUGUACACGGUGGACAUGUGGUAGCAUAUCACGGAGGAACACCCGGUGGCGAAGGGGCGGCUUUCUGNGACGCACANCUGACGCUCAGGUGCGAAAGCGUGGGUAGCAAACAGGAUUAGAUACCCUGGUAGUCCACGCCGUAAACGAUGGGUACUAGGUGUCGGGGGUAUCGAUCCCCUCGGUGCCGAAGUCAACGCAUUAA
rnacentral:rRNA from 1 species